GCAGCGGUGGUUCAGUGCUAGAAUUCUUGUCUUCCACGCAGGAGACCUGGGCUCACUUCCCAGCCAAGGUA
rnacentral:tRNA from 1 species